GAUGAACGCUGGCGGCGUGCUUAACACAUGCAAGUCGAACGAAGCACCUUGAUUUGAUUCUUCGGAUGAAGAUCUUGGUGCCUGAGUGGCGGACGGGUGAGUAACGCGUGGGUAACCUGCCUCAUACAGGGGGAUAACAGUUAGAAAUGACUGCUAAUACCGCAUAAGACCACAGCACCGCAUGGUGCAGGGGUAAAAACUCCGGUGGUAUGAGAUGGACCCGCGUCUGAUUAGGUAGUUGGUGGGGUAACGGCCUACCAAGCCGACGAUCAGUAGCCGACCUGAGAGGGUGACCGGCCACAGUGGGACUGAGACACGGCCCAAACUCCUACGGGAGGCAGCAGUGGGGAAUAUUGCACAAUGGGGGAAACCCUGAUGCAGCGACGCCGCGUGAGCGAUGAAGUAUUUCGGUAUGUAAAGCUCUAUCAGCAGGGAAGAAAAUGACGGUACCUGACGAAGAAGCACCGGCUAAAUACGUG
rnacentral:rRNA from 1 species